UACGUAGGGUGCGAGCGUUGUCCGGAAUUAUUGGGCGUAAAGAGCUCGUAGGCGGCUUGUCGCGUCGGUUGUGAAAGCCCGGGGCUUAACCCCGGGUCUGCAGUCGAUACGGGCAGGCUAGAGUUCGGUAGGGGUAAAGGGAAUUUCCAGUGGAGCGGUGAAAUGCGUAGAGAUUGGAAAGAACACCGAUGGCGAAGGCACUUUACUGGGCUAUUACUAACACUCAGAGACGAAAGCUAGGGUAGCAAAUGGG
rnacentral:rRNA from 1 species